CUGUACCCGUCAUGUUCACUUGUUUCUCCACAGUGCUGUUUAUGGGAACAGUUUUCUCCAUGCACCUGUUGGGGGAGCAAAACAAGGCUGCUUCGACCAUCAAUCUGUGGGACCUCAGAGCUCAGCCUGAAAGCAAGGGUGAAACGAAAUACGAAAAUUGCACUGCAGUAGAAGAGGAGUCAGCUAUCUGAGGGCCUCUGCUGAAAUCCCAUCUUUCGGGUGAUGUGGGAUUUCUC
rnacentral:lncRNA from 1 species